CCUCCCGAUCCUGGGACAGCAGAACCGUCCGCUCCGACGGCCGCUCUCCCCAUUGGCUGGCCAAACGCUGGGAGGGAUUUCCAGGGACGGCCCUGCAUCCAGGGUUGGACUAGCUUUAACCUGGGCGGCGCCCCAAACUGCCCGCGACGGAAGGCAGGAAAAGGGAGGUGGAAAUACUGGCUGUAGGGUCUCGUCUUCUCACAGGAUUGAAAGAGGAGGGAAGAGGACCCCAGGUUUCAGGAUCUGCCUUUCUCAGGUCCAACUUUCUCCUCAGUCCGGCACCGGGGCUGUUUCUUCUGGAUCCUCACCGCAGGCCCCUGGACAGAGGACGGAAUCCUUCAAAAUCUUCAAUUCCCAUGUGAACUCUCCCGGAGACUCAGGGUUAGUCCCCGACCUUGAAGUCUGUCCCUAAACAAAGCCCUGCCCCGCCCCACCCCUCAACCUCACCUAAUUCUAAGGUAAUCUACCCCAAAUAAAUGCCUUCUGGCUGCUCUCGGA